rnacentral:rRNA from 1 species
AGCCUGAUGCAGCAACGCCGCGUGAGGGAUGACGGCCUUCGGGUUGUAAACCUCUUUUAGUAGGGAAGAAGCGAAAGUGACGGUACCUGCAGAAAAAGCACCGGCUAACUACGUGCCAGCAGCCGCGGUAAUACGUAGGGUGCAAGCGUUGUCCGGAAUUAUUGGGCGUAAAGAGCUCGUAGGCGGUUUGUCGCGUCUGCUGUGAAAUCUGGGGGCUCAACCCCCAGCCUGCAGUGGGUACGGGCAGACUAGAGUGCGGUAGGGGAGAUUGGAAUUCCUGGUGUAGCGGUGGAAUGCGCAGAUAUCAGGAGGAACACCGAUGGCGAAGGCAGAUCUCUGGGCCGUAACUGACGCUGAGGAGCGAAAGCAUGGGGAGCGAACAGGAUUAGAUACCCUGGUAGUCCAUGCCGUAAACGUUGGGAACUAGAUGUGGGGGCCAUUCCACGGUCUCCGUGUCGCAGCUAACGCAUUAAGUUCCCCGCCUGGGGAGUACGGCCGCAAGGCUAAAACUCAAAGGAAUUGACGGGGGCCCGCACAAGCGGCGGAGCAUGCGGAUUAAUUCGAUGCAACGCGAAGAACCUUACCAAGGCUUGACAUAUACCGGAAACGUCCAGAGAUGGUCGCCCCGCAAGGUC